CAGCUCUCCGAGUAGUGUGGAUGUUUAUUGGGCCUAAAGCAUCCGUAGCUUGCUAUGCAAGUCCCUUGUUAAAUCCACCGAUUUAAUCGUUGGAUUGCGGGGGAUACUGUUUGGCUAGGGGACGGGAGAGGCCGACGGUAUUUCCGAGGUAGGGGGGAAAUCCUAUAAUCCCGGGAGGACCACCAGUGGCGAAGGCUGUCGGCUAGAACGCGCCCGACGGUGAGGGAUGAAAGCUGGGGAGCGAACCGGAUUAGAUACCCGGGUAGUCCCAGCUGUAAACGAUGCAGGCUAGGUGUUUGGGCGGCCACGAGCCCGCCCCUAGUGCCGCAGGGAAGCUGUUAAGCCUGCCGCCUGGGGAGUACGGCCGCAAGGCUG
rnacentral:rRNA from 1 species